GACGAAGGGGGCUAGCGUUGCUCGGAAUCACUGGGCGUAAAGCGCACGUAGGCGGCUUCUUAAGUCGGUGGUGAAAUCCUGGAGCUCAACUCCAGAACUGCCUUCGAUACUGGGAAGCUCGAGUCCGGGAGAGGUGAGUGGAACUGCGAGUGUAGAGGUGAAAUUCGUAGAUAUUCGCAAGAACACCAGUGGCGAAGGCGGCUCACUGGCCCGGUACUGACGCUGAGGUGCGAAAGCGUGGGGAGCAAACAGG
rnacentral:rRNA from 1 species